rnacentral:rRNA from 1 species
AGUGAAUAGAUACCCUGGUAGUCCACGCUGUAAACGAUGAGUGCUGGACGUUGGCGGGUUUACCUGCCGGUGUCGCAGCUAACGCGUUAAGCACUCCGCCUGGGGAGUACGGCCGCAAGGUUAAAACUCAAAGGAAUUGACGGGGGCCCGCACAAGCGGUGGAGCAUGUGGUUUAAAUUCGACGCAACGCGCAGAACCUUACCAGCCCUUGACAUGGGCGGACGGGGUUCCAGAGAUGGACUCUUUCUCGCAAGAGACCGCUACACAGGUGCUGCAUGGCUGUCGUCAGCUCGUGUCGUGACGAUGUUGGGUUAAGUCCCGUCAACGAGCGCAACCCGUCGUCUCCAGUUGCCAUCGGGUAGAGCCGGGCAC